AGUUUGAUCCUGGCUCAGAUUGAACGCUGGCGGCAUGCUUUACACAUGCAAGUCGAACGGUAACAGGGAGCUUGCUCCGCUGACGAGUGGCGAACGGGUGAGUAAUAUAUCGGAACGUACCUAGAAGUGGGGGAUAACGUAGCGAAAGUUACGCUAAUACCGCAUACGAUCCACGGAUGAAAGUAGGGGACCUUCGGGCCUUAUGCUUUUAGAGCGGCCGAUAUCUGAUUAGCUAGUUGGUGAGGUAAAGGCUCACCAAGGCGACGAUCAGUAGCUGGUCUGAGAGGACGACCAGCCACACUGGAACUGAGACACGGUCCAGACUCCUACGGGAGGCAGCAGUGGGGAAUUUUGGACAAUGGGCGCAAGCCUGAUCCAGCAAUGCCGCGUGAGUGAAGAAGGCCUUCGGGUUGUAAAGCUCUUUUGUCAGGGAAGAAACGGUGAAGGCUAAUAUCCUUUGCUAAUGACGGUACCUGAAGAAUAAGCACCGGCUAACUACGUG
rnacentral:rRNA from 1 species